CCCUAGGUAGCUCAGUUGGUAGAGCGCUCGACGGGAAAUGGAGAGGUCCCGGGUUCGAUACCCGGACCAGGCG
rnacentral:tRNA from 1 species